GUCUUUUUGAUAAUAAUUUAAAGUCUAACCUGCCCACUGAAAAUUUUUGAAGGGCCGCGGUAUUUUGACUGUGCAAAGGUAGCAUAAUCAUUAGUCUUUUAAUUGAAGGCUUGUAUGAAUGGUUGGAUGAGGUAUUAACUGUCUCAAUUUAAUAAAUAAUAGAAUUUUAUUUUUAAGUUAAAAAGCUUAAAUAAUUUUAAAAGACGAGAAGACCCUAUAGAUCUUUAUAUAUUAAUUUUUAAUAAUUUUUUAGUUUAAAUUUAUUUUUAUUUGUUAAGGUAUUGAAUUGGGGUGAUUAAAAAAUUUAGUAAACUUUUUUUUAUUAGUUAACAAUGAUUUUUGAAUAAUUGAUCUAUUUUUUGUGAUUAUAAGAUUAAGUUACCUUAGGGAUAACAGCGUAAUUUUUUUGGAGAGUUCUUAUCGAUAAAAAAGAUUGCGACCUCGAUGUUGAAUUAAAGGUUAAUUUUAGGUGUAGAAGUUUAAAAUUUUGGUCUGUUCGACCAUUGAAUC
rnacentral:rRNA from 1 species